GCUUGCACCGAGCGGAUGAGUUGCGAACGGGUGAGUAACGCGUAGGUAACCUGCCUCUUAGCGGGGGAUAACUAUUGGAAACGAUAGCUAAUACCGCAUAAAAGUCGAUAUCGCAUGAUAUUGAUUUGAAAGGUGCAAUUGCAUCACUAAGAGAUGGACCUGCGUUGUAUUAGCUAGUUGGUGAGGUAACGGCUCACCAAGGCGACGAUACAUAGCCGACCUGAGGGGGUGAUCGGCCACACUGGGACUGAGACACGGCCCAGACUCCUACGGGAGGCAGCAGUAGGGAAUCUUCGGCAAUGGGGGCAACCCUGACCGAGCAACGCCGCGUGAGUGAAGAAGGUUUUCGGAUCGUAAAGCUCUGUUGUAAGAGAAGAACGAGUGUGAGAGUGGAAAGUUCACACUGUGACGGUAACUUACCAGAAAGGGACGGCUAACUACGCGCCAGCAGCCGCGGUAAUACGUAGGUCCCGAGCGUUAUCCGGAUUUAUUGGGCGUAAAGCGAGCGCAGGCGGUUAGAUAAGUCUGAAGUUAAAGGCUGUGGUUUAACCAUAGUACGCUUUGGAAACUGUUUAACUUGAGUGCAGAAGGGGAGAGUGGAAUUCCAUGUGUAGCGGUGAAAUGCGUAGAUAUAUGGAGGA
rnacentral:rRNA from 1 species